UUUUUUUUUUUUUUGAUCACUGUUAUAUUACUGAUACCUAGGAGGGUGUCUGUCUCAAGGGCGGAGAGAAAGGAGUAUUUAUUAAGUUUAUGAGUAAGUGCCUGGAAUAGAGCAGAGAGGACUGUUUGGUGCUCCCACUGGGAAAGAGUCUCUUCCAAUCCUUGGCUGGGAUCUUUGGAACCAAAGCUCAGUAGGGCAGCAAGUACCUAGGUUAGUACCCAUGCCUAGUAAGGCUCCAAUAAACACCUGAUUUCAACUAAGCUCCCUUGUGAUUUAAAAAUGUCAGUACUUCAUGAGACAUUUCCUCCUAAAGCCAUGCCCUUCCCAGUCAAGGGGAGUUUGGGGAUCAUGUUUUGUCAAGAAAAACAAUCCCCAUAUACGUCCCCCAAAAGGCUGGUAAAAUCUUCUUUAAAAAUGUCAUUUCUGGGGCAGACGGCUUUUGGCCACACAUUGGAAUAAGAUUUUGGGGCCGUGGGGCUCUCUCCUCCCCGUCUCCCUGAGGUCCCCCCUCCCUCCAGAAAGAGCGCUUGGUGUAAGCCUGGCUGAACAAAGUCAGCUGCCCGCAUAUUAGUAGGAAAGCAGCUGUUGAGCUGUUGCAAGAGCAGUAUCACCAACCCAUAUUAGGGCCGUACAUUCCCGUCUCUGAAGACAAAGAGCGUUUCAGUUCACCUUUGCAUUAUAACAUUUGCACAUUCAUAAAAGGGAAGAGGAGAAGGUAUUUCAAACCAAGAGUUGGAGCCCUUCAGAGGAGACUUUGAAUUGGGGUUCAGCCCGCUGACCCUAGAAGGAAGGGUAACAGAGCCAAGGCCUCAUUACCCUGUCUUUGAAAAGCUUUGGGCGUAUUUGCUUGUUUUAAGCGACGUUAUCGGUCAGGUAGCAAUUCAUGGGACUUGCAUGCGUGGGACCAGCUCUGAGGGUGCUCGGAGCCGGCUGAGCGCCUCUGUUCUCUAGUCCCGAGAGGCGUCUGUGUGAUUCCCUCUCCCUGUGCCUCCAUCUCGCUCUCAUCCUGCCGGCUCUAGGUUCUAGUCCCCCUGAUUCCCCCUUUCGUCUCGAAUACCCAUUCAUCUGGCCUUCUGUGAAAUACAGACCUGCGCCCUUCCCCCGCUCCGGUGUGAACACUCGUGCAUGCUUGGUGAGUGUGUGCACGUGAGUGUACACGUGUGUUCUGUCUGUUUCAACAAAUCACGAAGUUGUCGAGACUAGAGAGGAGGUAUCGAGCAUUGAGCCAUCUCGCAGCCUCAGUGCUGCGUGCAGAGUCCGCCUCCGUGAAGUCUCCCUGGGCAGGGGGUGCAGGUGGCAGAGGGUGCUGUGCGGUGCUCGUGGUGACGAGUCUCAGCUUUGCCGCCUGGAUCUGCUGCCCGCUCCUGUGCGGCUUUCGCCGGGUGGGAAAUAAGACGUUUUCCCCAAGGCGGCAGGGUUGGGGGGGAAGGGAUGGAGAGAUGAUACAGGUUGUUGUGACCAGUUUAGAGCUCAGCAAAUAGUCACUUCUUCCUAAAUGUUGCCUUUAAAGUGAGUAUAAAUUCGGUGAUGGAUUAUGUAUGGUUAUUGUGGAGCGAGAUGGGGCUGACGCUACCCAUGUGGCAGAAACUAAAACAAACACAGAAGCUUUCUACUUUCAGGGAGUUCCCUUCGUGGGUCAGUGGUUAAUGAACCUAAGAUCCAUGAGGAUGUGGGUUCGGUCCCUGGCCUCGCUCACUGGGUUAAGGAUCUGGUGUUGCCGUGAGCUGUGGUGUAGGUCGCGGACAUGGCUGAGAUCCCGAGUUGCUGUGGCUGUGGUCCAUCCCCUGUGUUAACAGAUGGGAGUUCGUUGCUUUGUUUCUGGGACUGAUGGCUCCUUCAGCUGCAGUAAGUGGAUUCUGCUGGGCCCAGGCGGUACCUUGAUUCUGCAGGGACGGCUCGUCCACUGCCCCCUGCUCUUGGAACCUGCAGCUAAACCUCCUUUCCAGCACUUACGUGCCCUAUGGCCAAAUGGCUGCAAGUUGCCCAGUGGAACAGACCAGCAGCCUGCCCCUUCCCGCAGCGCCUGCAAAGACCCUGCACAGCUCUUCAGCUGCUGUUUCCCUCCCACGGGCUGCAGAUGGCGGCUGUGCACGCGGGGAUGGUGGAGCAAAGAGACGGCAGGGAGCCUGAUGCUGUGGAUGCCCAGCCCAGAGCUGCUUCCCCAACCUGAACAAAGGCCCCGGACUCUCAGGUGAAAAAAGUGAACUUCCUUCUCAUCGGCCACUAAAAGUUUAAGACCUCUUUGCUACUGCAAAGCAGCCUCCUCUAUAAUUCUAAUAUACGCCUCUUACCCCACCCUCCACAUUCUCAGGCCUAAAAGUUACUGUGUGAUUUUAAACACUCUGUGAGUGUUAGCUUUUAAUACCCUUUCUAGAAGCAGCAAAUGAAGGUCCUGGUAGACCUGCUGGUAUCUCCAGACCUGUUGGUUCCAAGGUCAAAAACACCAUACCUGCUUUUUCUUAUGUUUUUUUAAGUAGUAAGGAUAGAAAUGUCCACACACUAUGGAUAAUUUAUAUGUUCUAUUCUGAACAUUCUUUGUCGUACAACUUGCUAACUUUCUAUUGCGCUUGUAUCUAAUUCUUUGGCAAUCUGCGAAGCUUUUUACCUAUUUUUACACAUAAUCAUUAUCAUCCCUUUGUUAUAUUUUGCUGGUUCUGACAACAAAUACUUAAUGGAAUGUAGGCAUUAAGUUGACCAAUAUCUUCUUUAGAGAGUCUUCUUUUGAUUUUCUGUUUUAAAAGUCACUCCCAACCCUAGAUUAGAUAUGCACUGAACCUGUUAAAAGUCGUGAGUCUGCUUGUGCCCACUAGACACAAUACUUGCUAUUCGGGCUCUCAUGCCACCUUGUAUUCCAGUGUAUUUAGCACUGAUCUCCAGCAUCUUUUAAAAAUCAGACAACUUUGUCUUACUUAGUCACUUUCCCUUUAUACCUAAUUAAAGCCUUUGGGACCUGAGGAAUAUUUUCCCUCUCUGAUAUGCUAACUCCUAUUCUGCCAGUUUAUCUUGCAUAUCUCUCUAAGUUCUUUGUGUAAUUUAUUAAUGUUCGUACCAGUGCUUUGAAGAUUUCAUUAACGUGCUGUUUACCCCUUCGGAUGCUAUUAGCAAUGAUGAUCCAGUCCAGCAGGAUAGCUACACUGAUCCGCCGUUAUCUGAUGAGCCAGUCAGAACAGCCUAACCUGACACCUUCCUCUCUCCUAUUCAUCCCGUGUUUGCUGUAUUCAGACGUUUCAGAUCUACAUACUCAGCCCAUUUAAAUUAAUUUAGCUAUCGGGAUCUCAGGAGAUGCUCCAUCCCGCACUUCGCUGUGUGUACUAUCAAGACACAGGAUCAAACAAUCAUCUACCACAUUCCCUUUAGCUCGUAUAAUCUUUGUGAGUUCAGCCAAAAAGUUUCCAGUUAGUCUAAUCUGUUUUAUUCUUUGUGAAUCCAGGCUAUUUACUGCCAGGAGCCCUGUUCUCUCAGAGUUGGAUUAUCUCUUAGGAGCAGUCUGGAUGAGUUUUCUUCAUUAGAGGGCUUGGAAGGCAAUACUGAGAAGUCCAGGAGUUUAGCAGGAACCAGCUGAGCAAAGAAGCAUCUCAUUCCAAUAUCAAUCGAUCAAUCAACCAUUCCACAAGUUUUGUCAAAUCCACCGCGCACACAGUCCUGAGUCCUAUGGGGGGGUGUGGACAUAAGGCAGACUGCUUUGGUCAGGGUUCUCUUGGUUGCAAGCCACAGAAGUACACCUCGAGCUAGUUAAAACAGCAAAGGGAAUUUCGUGGAAGUUUCUGAGUUGACUCCUAGGAUUGAAGGAAACAAAGCCAUCGCCAGGAACCAGCAAGCUCAGAAAUGAAGGAAACACCUAUAGCCGCCCCAGCUAUUUCAAGCAGAAAGGAAUUUCAUGCCAGAAACACGAUGAUUAUAAAAGCAGGACGUAUUUCUGUUCGAGUCAGGAAGAUGCAGGUUACAUUGAUAAAUAAAUUAACCUCAAGACCACGGCUGAGUGCAACAAAGUAAUCGCAUGUCCCUCACCACCAGGGCCGAUAACAGGGACUUAGCCUUACACAGUCACGGAGAGACCCAGGCUGACAGCGAUGCACACAUCUCACACCUGUUUCCAUUGCCACAGCAGAGGGCAGACAGUAUGUAGAGUUGCAUGUGGCUUAUCCCUGUUUUAUCCUGGAUGUAACACGUAUUUCUGCUGAUCUCAUUGGCCAGGGCAGGCCACCCAGUCCCACUCCAUUAAAAGGGUGCAAAGAUGUGUGGUUUUCCACGUGGGCAGGAGGCGGGGAGGAGAGAGUGGUGAGCUCUGCUCUAACGGUGUAGAAGCUGAGGCCCCAGGAGGUUAGUUUCCACACAUUUUCACCAUUUAUAUUUGGCAGAACUGGUGUUCAAAUUCAGCUAUUGCUUAAAAGUGUCUGCUGCCCCCAGGAGGCUUCUCCUCGGAGGAGGAGUCUACCUCCAGCCCUUCUGGUGUUGGGCUUGCCUGGGCCAAGGCAGGGCGAGAGGAAAUACCAUGUGCUGCUCCCAAGCGGAAGGUCUGGCGGGCAUCCUGUGAUUUCCUCGCUGUGCUUGUCCAUCGGCUCCAGAGCUGCCGUUUCCCAGACAGAAGCUGUACCUUCAACCCGGAGCGACGGGGAUAUGGAGCAGAGCUUCGGGCAACCUGCAGGCAACAUUUAACACGAGUCAGCUAUAAAUUUAUGUCGCGGUGAGCCCUUGAGAUGGGGGGCUUGUUCAGCAUCUUAGUGUAAACUAGUGAAAUAGAGCUAAAACAGAUUCUGAAGAACGCACAAAAUCCCACCAAAACCUGAGCAGCCCAGCUCCAGAACGGACCGGGCUCUAAGUGGCCUGUUUAGAAUGUUAACCCAAGCCCGUGGACAUACUCGACACGGCCUUGAAAUGAGAAGGAUUCAUAUCGAAAUCCUUCUGAUUACGAGUCUCUGACCGAGACCCAAUUCCUAGGGGAGCGCGUGCGGCCGUCGAACCAGUCCCGGCGUGGGCACAGCCCAUCUGCCCCAUUGCCGUCGAGUUGGUGGCCAGCAGACCAGGGCAGCUGCCAGUCCCACAGGGACCGCGGGGAAGGGGAGGAGGAGGAGUACUUCCCCAGAGCCCAGAGGUCGGCCACAUCCAAAGAGGAGGGAGGAAGCGGCUUUCCCACGAGCCCCGCAGGGAGGCGGUCCUUCUUCAUCACCGGGCGGCGCCUCCCGGCACCCCUCCCAGCCACGUGAGAGCGUCUUGCCUUCCAAAGCAGGCGUCCUGAACGACCUUGGAGAAGCCUUUCGUUUGCCAGCACCCAGUGUCCCGUCCCCUCUGCUCAAAUCAACGGGAAGGAGUAAAGACAAUCGACAUUCAUUUGGUUGCCGUGGUUUUCACAUCCCCUGAAACCUGGGAGUUCAGCAGUGCUGGGCCCGUUUGAAGAAAACCUUUCUGACAGGAAGGCGAGUU
rnacentral:lncRNA from 1 species